GGGGGUAUAGCUCAGUGGUAGAGCACAUGCUUAGCAUGCAUGAGGCCCUGGGUUCAAUCCUCAGUUCCUCCA
rnacentral:tRNA from 1 species